ensembl:miRNA gga-mir-12272 gga-mir-12272
UUCCGCGAACCGCCUUCGGUCGCGGUGUCUGCGGAGACCAAAGGUGGCUCGCGGAACUGA